UCUUCUCACACACAAUAUGCUUGCUAAUUAC
rnacentral:piRNA from 1 species